GAUUAUUUAAUUUCUCAUUUCAUGAGAUCCUGUUACGCGAAUAUCCGCGAAGUUGAGUGAGAGAGGAAAAGGCGAAAAUGCAGAGAAAAUCUGAGAACAAAAAGAAGAAAAGUUCAUUAAGUCGAUGUUUGCUGUCACACUGCAGGGUGGAACCUCUGCUGACUGCUUACAAGAGGACAGCAAAGGACUAUACCUUGCAGAGUUUUUGCAUUCACUAGAUACAGUCAGAACCUGACAACUGAUCGGUCCAGUGAGGUUCACUGAAUACAAACAGAGUGGAAACAGAAAUCACUGGACUGUUGAAUGUGGAGCAAUUCAUUACAUUUAUGACCAGGAAUUCUCGUGCUUGUCUCUGCUAAGCUUGUCCCAGGAUCUUGGUGUUGUCCCAGUCGAAGUGAUGGUUCUCCUUGUCCGUGUGGAUUGAGAUGAAUCACAAAGUUAAAGAAGACUUAUGGCACAGAAGAAGGCCUAUCGCUCACCAUGCCAGCUCCUCAAAUGAACAUCAUUUCCUUGUGUCAAUCUCUCGAUUUUACCUUAUAAAAACCAAAAGAACUGCAGAUGCUGUAAAUCAGGUACAAAAACAGAAGUUUCUGGAAAAGCUCAGUAGGCCUGGCAGCAUCUGUGAAGAAAAAAUCAGAGUUAACAUUUCAAGUCCAGUGACCCUUUCUCAGAACACCGAUGGUUUCUUAAGAACUUACCUGUUAAGAGUUCUUGGUCCUCCAUGUGCAUUUGUGCCAUCUUUCUUGUUGCACUGCUGCAAAUGUCAACAGGCCCUGAGUGGUAAAUACUUAAUGCAUGUUAAGUCAGACAUUGUUUUGCAACUAACUGCCACAUUGGAAAAAUACCUAAUAUGGAGCCAUAGAAUUAUACAGCACGAAAACAGCACCAUCAGGUCAACCAAUCCGUGCCGAUCAUAAUCCCAAACUAAAUUCAUCCCACCUGUCUGCAUUUGUCCCAUAUCCCUCGAAAUCUUUCCUAUUCAUGUACCCAUCCAAAUGCCUUUUAAACAUCGUAACUGUACCUACAGUUACAGCUUCCUCUGGAAAUUCAUUCUACACACGAACCUCUCUCUCUGUAAGAAAGUUAUCUCUCAUAUCCUUUUUAAAUCUUUCUCCUCUCACAUAGAACACAGAACAUAGAACAUUACAGCACAGUACAGGCCCUUCAGCCCUCAAUGUUGUGCCGACCUGUCAUACCGAUCUCAAGCCCAUCUAACCUACACUAUUCCAUGUACGUCCAUAUGCUUAUCCAAUGAUGACUUAAAUGUACCUAAAGUUGGCGAAUCUACCACCAUUGCAGGCAAAGUGUUCCAUUCCCUUACUACUCUCUGAGUAAAGAAACUACAUCUGUCCUAUAUCUUUCACUCCUCAAUUUAAAGCUAUGCCCCCUCGUGCUCGCCGUCACCAUCCUAGGAAAAAGGCUCUCCCUAUCCAUCCUAUCUAACCCUCUGAUUAUUUUAUAUGUUUCAAUUAAGUCACCUUGAACAUGUGCCUGCCAGCCAUGAAAUCCCCACAAGAGGGAAGGGACACCUGCCAUUCACCUUAUCUGUACUCCUCAAGAUUUUAAAAACCUCUAAAUCUAAAACCGAUGAAGCUCUAAACCUCAAAAUCUUAUGCUCCAGCGAAAAAGGUCCCAGUCUAUUCAGCCUCUCCCUAGAACUCAAAACUUCCAUUCCAGCCAACAUCUUGAUAAAUCUUUUAUGAACUCUCUCCAGCUUGAUAAUGCCCUUCCUAUAAGAGGAUGACCAGAACUGGACAUAAUACCUCAGAAGAGGCCUCACUAAUGUCAUGUACAACCUCAACAUGGCAUUCCAAUUCCUAUACUUAAAGAUCUGAGCAAUGAAGGCAAGUGCGCCAAAUACUUGCUGAACCACCAUGCCUACAUGUGAUGCAAUCUUCAAAGACAUAUACCUGA